ensembl:snRNA U6 U6 spliceosomal RNA
UUGCUUUGGCGGCACAUAUACUAAAAUUGGAAUGAUACAGAGAAGAUUAGCAUGGCUCCUGCACAAGGAUGACAUGCAAAUUUGCGAAGUAUUCCUUUUUUUU